CCGGCGCCUCACCUUGGUUCACCAGGCGCAGGGCGUGCGUGAAGGAGGGGUCCAGGGAGUCCUUCUCCGCCAUCAGCUCGGGCAGGUAGCAAUCUGGGACACUCCUGACUGGCUCUUCAUCCCUCCCUGAUCUGAGCUGGCAGAGUCAGUCCACCAGCAGCUGUGGAGGAGGGCUAUGCACUGGGAAACUGACAGCAAGGGCACUGAAUCUUCUGCUCCAGACCCUCCUUCUCCAAGAACCUUCCAAGAGGGCAGGUGCCAAGCGCUGUGAGUGCUCAUGCAGGGUCCUCCAGGGAGGAAGGAGAUGAAUGUCUCUGUGAGAUGCUCAGGAAAUUGUCCCCACCCACCAACCUGGCUGAGCUGUUGGCUGUGGGGCACCUCCAUGCUGUGCUGCACGCUCUGCUCAUCUUCAUGAGAUCACCGUCCUGCAGGCGCUAACCCUCUGAUUCUUUUGAAAAGGAGAAAUCAGGUCUUGGGAAAAGCGGUGAUUUUCCUACAAGCAGCUGCAGCAAAAACCCUCCAUCCUUUGCUUCCUGGUGUAAAAGGUUAUAUGUGAUGCUGGAGUGCCAAAGUACUUGCUGUAUUUCAACAAUGCGUCAAGUUAUCACCACCUCUGGUGCUUUGGAAGAUGCUGUGAUUUGGAAAGCACUGUUGAAAUGUAAAACAUUAUUGCCACAGUAGUAAAAAUAUCUGUGUCCA